rnacentral:rRNA from 1 species
AUACGGAGGGUGCAAGCGUUGUUCGGAAUCACUGGGCGUAAAGGGCGCGCAGGCGGUUUGUUAAGUCAGAUGUGAAAGCCCACGGCUCAACCGUGGAAGUGCAUUUGAAACUGGCAGACUUGAGUACCAGCGGGGGAAGUGGAAUUCCCGGUGUAGAGGUGAAAUUCGUAGAUAUCGGGAGGAAUACCGGUGGCGAAGGCGACUUCCUGGCUGGAUACUGACGCUGAGGCGCGAAAGCGUGGGGAGCAAACAGGAUUAGAAACCCUAGUAGUCC